rnacentral:rRNA from 1 species
AACGCUAGCGGGAUGCCUUACACAUGCAAGUCGAACGGCAGCGGGAAGAAAGCUUGCUUUCUUUGCCGGCGAGUGGCGAACGGGUGAGUAAUGUAUCGGAACGUGCCCAGUAGCGGGGGAUAACUGGCCGAAAGGUCAGCUAAUACCGCAUACGCCCUACGGGGGAAAGGGGGGGAUUCUUCGGAACCUCUCACUAUUGGAGCGGCCGAUAUCGGAUUAGCUAGUUGGUGGGGUAAUGGCCUACCAAGGCGACGAUCCGUAGCUGGUUUGAGAGGACGACCAGCCACACUGGGACUGAGACACGGCCCAGACUCCUACGGGAGGCAGCAGUGGGGAAUUUUGGACAAUGGGGGAAACCCUGAUCCAGCCAUCCCGCGUGUGCGAUGAAGGCCUUCGGGUUGUAAAGCACUUUUGUCAGGGAAGAAAAGGUUCUGGCUAAUACCCGGAACUGAUGACGGUACCUGAAGAAUAAGCACCGGCUAACUACGUGCCAGCAGCCGCGGUAAUACGUAGGGUGCAAGCGUUAAUCGGAAUUACUGGGCGUAAAGCGUGCGCAGGCGGUUCGGAAAGAAGGAUGUGAAAUCCCAGGGCUCAACCUUGGAACUGCAUUCUUAACUACCGAACUAGAGUAUGUCAGAGGGGGGUAGAAUUCCGCGUGUAGCAGUGAAAUGCGUAGAUAUGCGGAGGAAUACCGAUGGCGAAGGCAGCCCCCUGGGAUAAUA